rnacentral:tRNA from 1 species
AAUGAAUUGCCUGAUGAAAAGGGUUACCUUGAUAGGGUAAAUCAUGUAUAUAUUACAUUCAUUA